AUACGUAGGGGGCGAGCGUUGUCCGGAAUGAUUGGGCGUAAAGGGCGCGUAGGCGGCGCGGUAAGUCUGGAGUGAAAGUCCUGCUUUCAAGGUGGGAAUUGCUUUGGAUACUGCCGCGCUUGAGUGCAGGAGAGGUUAUCGGAAUUCCCGGUGUAGCGGUGAAAUGCGUAGAGAUCGGGAGGAACACCAGUGGCGAAGGCGGGUAACUGGACUGCAACUGACGCUGAUGCGCGAAAGUGUGGGGAGCAAACAGGAUUAAAGACCCUGCUAGUCCACACUGUAACCGAUGAAUGCUAGGUGUAAGAGGUAUUGACCCGUCUUGUGCUGGACGCGACACAAUAAGCGUUCCGCCUGGGGGGUAAGGGCGCAUGGUUGCAGCAUAAGGGGAUGGACGGGG
rnacentral:rRNA from 1 species